GGCCUUUAGAAUUUAAUUUAAGGUCUGACCUGCCCAGUGAUAAAUUUAACGGCCGCGGUAUAUUGACCGUGCAAAGGUAGCAUAAUCAUUAGUCUUUUAAUAGAGGGCUGGAAUGAACGGUUUAACGAGGAACUGACUGUCUCAUUUUAUUUGUUUUAAAAUUUAAUUUUUUAGUUAAAAAGCUAAAAUUUUAUUGGAAGACGAGAAGACCCUAUAGAUCUUUAUAUAACUUUUAUUUAUGUAUACAUAUUAAUAUACUUAAAAUAUAAUUAUAUUUUGUUGGGGUGACAAAAAUAUAUAAUUAACUUUUUUAUUUAUUUACCAUUGAUAUAUGAAUUUUAGAUCCUUUAUUAUUGAUUGUUAGAAUAAGUUACCUUAGGGAUAACAGCGUAAUCCUCCUCCAGAGUUCAUAUUUACAGGAGGGCUUGCGACCUCGAUGUUGGAUUAAGAUAAUAAUUAGGUGUAGCCGCUUAAUUUAUAGGUCUGUUCGACCUUUAAAUUCUU
rnacentral:rRNA from 1 species